UACUUUGCUCUGCCAUCCUCUCCCCUGUGCCUAGGUUGGCUACGAGUACUUCUGCAGACUUUCUCCUUUCAAUAAGUUUCUGAUGUUUCAUUAACAAUUAGCUGUUGAAGCCCGUGUUCUGUUUUGCCUGUUUCCACUCCAGUUCUCCCCCAGCAACUAAAGAUCAGUCAGAAGAGAGUGAUGACUAAAUGAGUGCGUGGGUGAGAGGAUGAUGUGCCUUCUAAUGAUCAUACAGGAAGUAAAUAAACUGGACGAUCUGGAUACUUCCCAUGGACACAUCUAUAUGUCAGACUCACUGGAGACGUUAGGGGGCCUCAAAUCUUUGAGAGUUGUUGUACGUCGUCCCUUGGAUCUUCAGGCAAAGGUGAGAAGGCACUAGGUCCUAUGCUCUCCUUGUCUACUGUACAGGGUAAAUAGAAACCUAAAUUCCUCUGGAAUUUCCUCAGAGAAAUCAUGACCCCUCUGACCAAACACGGUGUGCUCAAGGUGUCAGAGGUAAGGUAACGUCAGAGGUAAGGCUGGUGAAAGGCAGCUUUUUGGGGCUUCUGUGUACUGUAGAACGCUGUGCACCAGCUCUUGCUGGCAGAUUUUUUGCAGGAAGACCUACUCUGGGACUCUAGCAGCACUGAAUACUGAUCAACUGAAAGAAAAGGCUGUGUGUGUGGGGAGGAAGGUUGGACCAAUUUCUCUGCUGGCAUAACUCCAGAGGGUGAAAUCAUAGCCCUAUUGAGACGCAUAGGAUUUUUGCUACAUAUGAGAUUGCUGAGAAAUCUUUUAAUAACUUAACGCUGAUUUUGUUUUGGAUUAAAAGCUCCCUAUAACCUUAGCUUACAAAUGCUCAAAUCUUGCACACAGAAUUGAAAUCUUCAGGAAGCAAAUGAGCUUGAAAAUGAAUUUAGAUGCAUCAGUGGAACCCCUGCAGGAGAAAUCCAUUGAAUCCACUGAAGGGCUGAAUUUGGUAA